AGCGGAGUAGCUCAGGUGGCAGAGCAAACGACUCAUAAUCGUUGUGUCGCGGGUUCAACUCCCGCCUCCGCUACCA
rnacentral:tRNA from 3 species